rnacentral:lncRNA from 1 species
AUGUUUUCCUCCUAUUUCUGGCUCAGUGACCCCCAGGGCUGCACUGGCCAUGGGCAAAAUGCUUGUUGGAGUUCUUCCAAUUUCUUGAAAUGCCAAGACGUGUCCUUUCCAGUGGGCUAUUUUUCUCUCAAAAGCUUUCAGAGCCAUGAGGCCAACUUAUGCCAUCCCUCUCUGUUCAAACACUCAGCUCCUGACCCAUCAUGGCAUGACAGCCCUCUUCCCUUUUAUAUAUCUCGGAACUUAUGUACUUAUGAAGACAGCUGUGUAGUUUCUUUGGGUGCCACCGGCAAAACUGAGAUGUCUGGCCAGAGUUUGAUCUUCCAAAGCAGCUCUUACCACAGCCACAGCAGUGACAGGGAGUGAGUCUUAAACCAAGAAGCCACGAGGUAACACCCUGAGACGUGUCAUGAUGAUACUAAUCAACCCUGCUUACUUCAUCAUACCUGCCAAGUGUUUCAGUCAGGACCAGAUAACCUGGAGCUGUGAUGAAAUGGGAGGCUCAUCUCGAAAGGCAAGAAUGGAAUUUCAAUAAGUCUCUUGAGUGAAAAUAUCACAGGGUUUAGCACAGCUGCCCACCAUGAUGCCACAGAAGUGCCCCAUUCAUUUAUCAGGACCAGCCUCCUUCUCCACAUACCCAAACCCCCUAUGCUCAAGUGCUGGAAAAUGUCCAGCUCAUGAGACAACACAGUUGCUGCCAGGGUCUCGGCUCUUGCCUCUGGAGGAAAACAAGGCCUUCUGAAAACCAGAGAAUCUUUCAGGCACUCUAAACCCUCUGCUGCACAACCAGGUUUGCAAACCACCUCAACAUGCUGAAGAGACAACUGUGUCCUCUGCCUGACAUGAGGCAUCUUGGAGAAGAGUGUCACAGUUUCCCAGGAAACAACCAGAAAACCUCUGGGUGCUUGCUGUGGGUUCGGAUCAACACACCAUCAACCCCACCUCUGGGCCUGCACCUGUGGACUUGGAGCUGCACCUGGAUUCAGAAGCCGCUCUGGCGCCCCC